rnacentral:lncRNA from 1 species
GCUAAUUUAGUCAAUUAUUUUUUAUUUUUAAAAUUGGUUUCAAUUCAAUGAUUUUCUUUUAAUGCACAUUUUGUUUUCAUAUUUUACAGCUCAAAUAUAGAGAGAUUUUUUUUUAUCAAGACACUUCAAAAGUCAAAAGUGUCCCAACCCUUAUAUUGUUUUCAUAUUUUACAGAUCAAACAUAGAGAGAUUUUUUUUAUCAAGACACUUCAAAAGUCAAAAGUGUCCCAACCCUUAUAUUGUUUUCAUAUUUUACAGAUCAAACAUAAAGAGAUUUUUUUUAUCAAGACACUUCAAAAAGUCAAAAGUGUCCCAACCCUUAUAUUGUUUUCAUAUUUUACAGUUCAAACAUAGAGAGAUUUUUUUUUAUCCAGACACUUCAAAAGUCAAAAGUGUCCCAACCUUUAUAU